UCUUCAAUGACACCCAACUCUUCCACUCUUCUACACUGAACAUGCCAGAUGUAUUCUUUACUAUUAACGUUAACUAUGAAGUUAUGCCUUUUUGAACCAUCUCAACUCCAAGCUGCUAUCUCUAUACAUACAAAGACUUAUCUGCCAAAGUUCAGAGUAUAAAUACUUCACAUAUAGAGGGGUACCACUGUAUUGCUCUCUUAAACAGAGUGGAGUUAGUAAAAGCAUUUCAUUUCAUCAACACUUUUCUUCUAACUGAUGUCUUCAGCCUCCAUCUCCCACUCCCUCAGUCUCUCUCUCUCUCUCUCUCUUUCUCUCUCUCUCUCUCUCUCUCUCUCUCUCUCUCUCUCUCUCUCUCUCUCUCUCUCUCUCUCUCUCAGCAUGGCAGUGUCAUUAUCCUUGAUUGCCCAUCAACAUUCAAACAGAAAUGCAUAACAAGCAAUUUAUUUAUUUAUUUUUUUAUUUAUUUAAUUAAUUUAUUUAUCUUUUUAUUUUUUUCACCAAUGUUAUGGCCUAUAGCAUCUGUAGGCAUAUUUAAAGAGUAUAUGUGGGAAGCGCUGUUCAGCUUCCGCCCAUUAGUGGCACAUGCAAUUUUAUUUAUAGCGGUACCCAUAUUAGAGCCCAUAUCACCAUCCAAUUGUAUCUUUGGUUUAACCACUUAGAAUCUGAGUAUCAUGGUGACAUGUAGGUAACUUUAAACCACUCGACAAAUGGUGUAGCUUUAAAGCGGUAUGUGGUGGGAUUCAUACCUACACGUGGAUGUCUGCCCAAACCCACGAUCACCACCUUAUCCACUACACCACUGCCUCACACCGACAGGCUGCAGGUCCAACCAGCCCAGGACCCCAUUUCACUACGAGUGUCACCCCGGAUGAUCCCACAGCCAAGUAGUCAUGGUUAUCCACCUUAUCAUAAGUUUUGUAAAUUGUAGACCAACAAAAUGAGUUACAAUGGUAUCUAGCAUGCAGUAAUAGAUAAACACAAGCUUUUUUGGCUUGUUUAUCAUGUCAUAUAUAUUCAUUUGUGUGGCCAGGUGGGAACUAUGGAUUUGUAGAAAAAAAAAAAAAAUGCCAUUACAGUCCCCCCAAAAUUGGUUAGUCUCUGACUGGUACUUUACUGAGCAAAAUCCGUUACCAAGAGGUCUGUUAUUGCAAGGCACCAAUAUAUAUAUAUAUAUAUAUAUAUAUAUAUAUAUAUAUAUAUAUAUAUAUAUAUAUAUAUAUAUAUAUAUAUGUGUGUGUGUGUGUGUGUGUAUACACUAUGUAAGAUGGAUUCAUCUUUCAUAUUUCACCUUCAUGGUCUCUCUACAACAGUAUAUGUGUGUGACAAGUAAGAAAAUUCCUUUUAUACCAACCAAACUUGCAAUUUUUGUAAUUGAUACAUGAGAGAAAACUAAAUCAUUCACACCAACUAACUCUGAAUUUGCUGUUGUUAGUUUACAUUGUUUCUUAUGAGAUUUAAAUCAAGGAUGAACAAUAUGGAUAAAUCCAAGUAAUUUAACUCCUUCAAUGCUGUUAAAGUAUGAAUGACUUAAUUAUCCUCAUCCCACUGGCUUGCUUUCCUGCAGUGGCUCUAUUGAAUGUCAAGAUCCUUCUUUACAUUUUUCAGGGGAAGAAAAGAUAUGAUCACAGAUUGAACCGUGGGCUUGUUGCUUCACCUGAAUGUCAGGUACCUCCAAAUAGAAUUCUGCACAUGCACACACACUGUACCAUCUUCAGACAGCCACUAGACACUGAUUUCUAGCAAGCAGGUGCUUUUUUCUACAGCUGCUUGAGAACACUAGAUUCCUGGGUACUGGUUAUCUGACAGUUUUAAUAUAUAUAUAUAUAUAUAUAUAUAUAUAUAUAUAUAUAUAUAUAUAUAUAUAUAUAUAUAUAUAUAUAUAUAUAUAUAUAAUUUAUUAUGAAUAUUGACUCAAAAACAUUUCUUAAUUAGAAUUCAUUCCUCCAUAGUUUUGGCAUUUAGAUGUGGUCUUACGUGAAGCAUGUCAUGAUCUAGAAGAAAAGAGUAAAUAUCACUCACUGUGCCAGCAUAUUGUUUUUUUCUGAUUUGUUCAGAGUAUUCUGACUGUUGCAGUAAUCUGAGUUAUCUUAUGUAUAUAGUAUACUAACUUGUGACUCUUAAUGUUCACUAAAAUGCUGAUAACAGUGUCUUAUUUUUUAGUAAAACUGUUGUUUUA
rnacentral:lncRNA from 1 species